ACUCCUACGGGAGGCAGCAGUGGGGAAUAUUGCACAAUGGGGGAAACCCUGAUGCAGCCAUGCCGCGUGUGUGAAGAAGGCCUUCGGGUUGUAAAGCACUUUCAGUAGGGAGGAAGGUAGUGUAGUUAACACCUGCAUUAUUUGACGUUACCUACAGAAGAAGCACCGGCUAACUCCGUGCCAGCAGCCGCGGUAAUACGGAGGGUGCGAGCGUUAAUCGGAAUUACUGGGCGUAAAGCGCAUGCAGGCGGCCUGUUAAGUCAGAUGUGAAAGCCCGGGGUCUUAACCUCGGAAUUGCAUUUGAAACUGGCAGGCUAGAGUCUUGUAGAGGGGUUAGAAUUUCAGGUGUAGCGGUGAAAUGCGUAGAGAUCUGAAGGAUACCAGUGGCGAAGGCGGCCCCUGGACAAAGACUGACGCUCAGAUGCGAAAGCGUGGGAGCAAACAGGAUUAGAUACCCCGUGGUAGCGACUGA
rnacentral:rRNA from 1 species